UGACCUAAGUCGAGGCCGGUAGGCGUAGACGAUGGACAGCAGGUUUAAUAUUCCUGCACCGGCUGUGGUUAAGCCAAAGAGUGACGCGGAGGUGGAGAGCAGCUGCCGAUUGAAAGUGGCAGUGUCGCAAGACGACGUGGAGGCUACGGCCAAAGCGGAUUGUUUGAAAUCGACGCCAAGAAAACCUCUCUGGUGUUCCCACGGUUGCCCGUACCGUAAACCGACACAGGUGGGUGGGUAGAGUAUACCCAGGCGCGUGAGUGAAACCUCGUUAAGGAACUCGGCAAUCUAGCCCCGUAACUUCGGAAGAAGGGGUGCCGUCGCAAGACGGUCGCAGUGAAAUGGGUCAACCGACUGUUUAACAAAAACACAGCACUCUGCUAAGUCGCAAGACGACGUAUAGGGUGUGACACGUGACCAAUGCGGAAAGAUUACGGUAAGGGGUUAGCCGCAAGGCGAAGCUCUGAGCCCAAGUCCCCGUGAAUGUCGGCCGUAACUAUAACGGUCCUAAGGUAGCGAAAUUCCUUGUCGGGUAAGUUCCGACCUGCACGAAUCGUGUAACGAGUUGACCGCUGUCUCAACGAGGAGCUCAGCGAAGUUGUAAUGGCGGUGAAGAUGCCGCCUACCCGCAGCAGGACGGAAAGACCCUAUGCACCUUUACUGUACGCUGUUACUGUGUUUUCGGUUUUAUUGCUUAGCGUAAGUGGGAGACUGUGAACUGGACCUUUCGGGGUUCAAGGAGUCGCCAAUGAAACACCACCCUAUCAAAUUGGAAACACUAACCUCUAGCCAUUAUCUGGCAGAGGGACACUGGCAGCCGGUCAGUUUUACUGGGGCGGUAUCCUCCCAAAGAGUAACGGAGGAGUACGAAGGUUGGCUCAGCCCGGUUGGUAAUCGGGUGACGAGUAUAUGGAUAUAAGCCAGCCUAACUGUGAGACCUACAAGUCGAGCAGGUGCGAAAGCAGGUCCAAGUGAUCCGGUGGUUGAAUGUGGAAUUGCCAUCGCUCAACGGACAAAAGGUACGCUAGGGAUAACAGGCUGAUCGAGUCCAAGAGCUCAUAUCGACGACUCGGUUUGGCACCUCGAUGUCGGCUCAUCACAUCCUGGGGCUGGAGAAGGUCCCAAGGGUCCGGCUGUUCGCCGGUUAAAGUGGUACGCGAGCUGGGUUCAGAACGUCGCGAGACAGUUCGGUCCUUAUCCGCUGUGGGCGCAGGAGAAUUGAGGGGUUCAGACCUUAGUACGAGAGGACCGGGUCUGACGAACCACUGGUGUUCCAGUUGUCGUGUCAACGGCAUUGCUGGGUAGCUACGUUCGGAAAGGAUAAGCGCUGAAAGCAUCUAAGCGCCAAGCCUCUCCCAAGAUGAAUUCUCCCUGAAGGGUCGUGGUAGACCACCACGUUGAUAGGCUUCCGGUAGAAGCACAGUAAUGUGUUGAGCUGAGAAGUACUAAUAUCCCGUUCGGCUUGGUCGU
rnacentral:rRNA from 1 species